UCUCUAAGGCCCCUUCCGACCCAAACCAGUCUGUGAUUCUGAAUAAAUGCUAACAUUAAUUUGUUCUGUGCUCACACACUGCCGGUGUUCAGAGCAGUGGUCCUCGGCCGCCAGUUGCUCUGCAUAGCGUUCACAAGAAAUCGAGAAAAGGCAGCUGUUCCCUGGUGGAUAACCCCUUCGGAUUCAGAGUUUCUGUCCUGGACACUGCCACUACACUGUGCUGGUACCACAGAGAAAUUUGGCUCUCAGAGUUUGGAUUGGUUGCUGAAAGGAGUGGCUGCCAAGCUGACAGGAGAGCAGGACCCUGGUGUGGCAAGAGGAAGCACAGCUUAUUUUGGAUAUCAUUGCAGAAAAUCUGCAAAAAAGUGACACUGCUGAUUCAUUUUGCUUGUCCUGUGUUGGAGGCCUGUUCUUCUGCAUCAAGCCUGCCCUACCCACCCAGCCUGGCCACUGCAUGCCCACCUUGCUGUAGUCA